UGGAUUUUUCUGAAUUGUAUUUUGGUUUGAGGAGUUAAAGAGGUGGGACACCCUUCAGCUCUGUCCCCUACCCUGAUGUUAUAGUGUGACAGGACAAGUUUCCUUCAUGCCACAUUUUUGCCCCACAAAAAUGGGACAUAAACCGGCAGCACCAGAAAAUUAAGUACGUCACGUAAAAAACCAGGAAUUGAUAGAAUAAUUUAGUACAAAAUUGAGUGUUUUUGUCUUUCUGAGACUUGCAGGAGCUGCAGCUGUGCUGGGAUGGCUGCAGGAUUUGGCUGACUCGUGUCUGCACCCACCAGGGCUCCAGCAGGAAUGACAUUGCCAGAGGAAAGAACAAGGAGGAAAAUUCAGACUCCCUCCAGUGAUUUCCACAGACACUGGAAACAUCAGUGCUGAGGGAUCAGUGACCAGCAGACACCAGAAUCAUCUGGAUAUUUGGAACUGGAAAAAAAAUGCUGCAAGUCAGUGAAUUCAGACAUUUUAUGAAUCAAAACUGCAUUGCACAGGAUAAAGAAAAAAAGAAAGAUUUUAG
rnacentral:lncRNA from 1 species